rnacentral:rRNA from 1 species
AUUGAACGCUGGCGGCAUGCUUUACACAUGCAAGUCGAACGGUAACAGGCCGCAAGGUGCUGACGAGUGGCGAACGGGUGAGUAAUGCAUCGGAACGUGCCCAGUCGUGGGGGAUAGCGCAGCGAAAGCUGUGCUAAUACCGCAUACGAUCUAUGGAUGAAAGCGGGGGACCGUAAGGCCUCGCGCGAUUGGAGCGGCCGAUGUCAGAUUAGGUAGUUGGUGGGGUAAAGGCCCACCAAGCCAACGAUCUGUAGCUGGUCUGAGAGGACGACCAGCCAAACUGGGACUGAGACACGGCCCAGACUCCUACGGGAGGCAGCAGUGGGGAAUUUUGGACAAUGGGCGCAAGCCUGAUCCAGCAAUGCCGCGUGCAGGAAGAAGGCCUUCGGGUUGUAAACUGCUUUUGUACGGAACGAAACGGUCUGGGUUAAUACCCUGGGCUAAUGACGGUACCGUAAGAAUAAGCACCGGCUAACUACGUGCCAGCCGCCGCGGUAACAC